GUACACGCUGUGACUAGCAUAUCAAUAAGCGGAGGAAAAGAAACUAACAAGGAUUCCCCUAGUAACGGCGAGUGAAGCGGGAAGAGCUCAAAUUUGAAAUCUUAAAGGGUUUCCCUUUACGAAUUGUAGUUUAAAGAAGUGUUUUCUGUUGAGGUUUUGGUAAAAGUUCUUUGGAAUAGGACAUCAUAGAGGGUGAGAAUCCCCGUAUUUGACCUUUACUUUCAACUUUGUGAUACACUUUCAAAGAGUCGGAUUGUUUGGGAAUGCAGUCCAAAAUGGGUGGUAAAUUUCAUCUAAAGCUAAAUAUUGGCGAGAGACCGAUAGCGAACAAGUACCGUGAGGGAAAGAUGAAAAGAACUUUCGAAAAGAGAGUUAAACAGUACGUGAAAUUGUCAAAAGGGAAGCGUUUGACACCAGUGUUGUUUUUCUGAAAAUCAAUUAAAGAACUGUUUAUGCUAAGCUUGUUUAGACUUUAUCAGCUAACUGUUUAGUUUUGAGCUUUUCUUUAAUGCACUUUUCAGUUAACAAGUCAACAUCAAUUUCUUUUGCUGUAAAAAAGCUUGAGGAAGGUGGCUUGAGAUUCGUCUUAAGUGUUUAUAGCCUCUUGCCUAUGCAGUCGGAGAGAUUGAGGUCUGCAGCGUAGAUCCUUCGGGGCUAAAUGCAUUUGUGCUAAGUUAUAGCAUUUUAUAGACAACUUGUUGACUAUGAUUUGUCUUGUAGCUUACUCGCUUAUGUUAUUUUACCUACGCUUAGGAUGUUGACUGAUAUGUAGUCGUA
rnacentral:rRNA from 1 species